AGGGAUCAUUACCGAGUUUACAACUCCCAAACCCCUGUGAACAUACCUAUACGUUGCCUCGGCGGAUCAGCCCGCGCCCCGUAAAAAGGGACGGCCCGCCCGAGGACCCCUAAACUCUGUUUUUAGUGGAACUUCUGAGUAAAACAAACAAAUAAAUCAAAACUUUCAACAACGGAUCUCUUGGUUCUGGCAUCGAUGAAGAACGCAGCAAAAUGCGAUAAGUAAUGUGAAUUGCAGAAUUCAGUGAAUCAUCGAAUCUUUGAACGCACAUUGCGCCCGCCAGUAUUCUGGCGGGCAUGCCUGUUCGAGCGUCAUUUCAACCCUCAAGCUCAGCUUGGUGUUGGGACUCGCGGUAACCCGCGUUCCCCAAAUCGAUUGGCGGUCACGUCGAGCUUCCAUAGCGUAGUAAUCAUACACCUCGUUACUGGUAAUCGUCGCGGCCACGCCGUAAAACCCCAACUUCUGAAUGUUGACCUCGGAUCAGGUAGGAAUACCCGCUGAACUUAAGCAUAUCAA
rnacentral:rRNA from 1 species